rnacentral:rRNA from 1 species
UACAGGGGGUGCAAACGUUGCUCGGAAUCAUUGGGCGUAAAGCGCACGUAGGCGGUUCGUUAUGUCGGAUGUGAAAGCCCUUGGCUUAACCGAGGAAGUGCAUCCGAAACUGGCGAGCUAGAGUACUAAAGAGGAUCGCGGAAUUCCUGGUGUAGCGGUGAAAUGCGCAGAUAUCAGGAGGAACACCGGUGGCGAAGGCGGGUCUCUGGGCCGAUAUUGACGCUGAGGAGCGAAAGCGUGGGGAGCGAACAGG